rnacentral:rRNA from 1 species
GAUGAACGCUGGCGGCGUGCCUAAUACAUGCAAGUCGAGCGAACGGACGAGAAGCUUGCUUUUCUGAUGUUAGCGGCGGACGGGUGAGUAACACGUGGAUAACCUACCUAUAAGACUGGGAUAACUUCGGGAAACCGGAGCUAAUACCGGAUAAUAUUUUGAACCGCAUGGUUCAAAAGUGUAAGACGGUCUUGCUGUCACUUAUAGAUGGAUCCGCGCUGCAUUAGCUAGUUGGUAAGGUAACGGCUUACCAAGGCAACGAUGCAUAGCCGACCUGAGAGGGUGAUCGGCCACACUGGAACUGAGACACGGUCCAGACUCCUACGGGAGGCAGCAGUAGGGAAUCUUCCGCAAUGGGCGAAAGCCUGACGGAGCAACGCCGCGUGAGUGAUGAAGGUCUUCGGAUCGUAAAACUCUGUUAUUAGGGAAGAACAUAUGUGUAAGUAACUGUGCACAUCUUGACGGUACCUAAUCAGAAAGCCACGGCUAACUACGUG